rnacentral:rRNA from 1 species
CCUACGGGAGGCAGCAGGGGGGAAUUUUGGACAAUGGGCGAAAGCCUGAUCCAGCAAUGCCGCGUGUGUGAAGAAGGCCUUCGGGUUGUAAAGCACUUUUGUUCGGGAAGAAAUCCCUUGGGAUAAUACCUCGGGGGGAUGACGGUACCGGAAGAAUAAGCACCGGCUAACUACGUGCCAGCAGCCGCGGUAAUACGUAGGGUGCAAGCGUUAAUCGGAAUUACUGGGCGUAAAGCGUGCGCAGGCGGUUUUGUAAGACGGAUGUGAAAUCCCCGGGCUUAACCUGGGAACUGCAUUCGUGACUGCAAGGCUAGAGUAUGGCAGAGGGGGGUAGAAUUCCACGUGUAGCAGUGAAAUGCGUAGAGAUGUGGAGGAAUACCGAUGGCGAAGGCAGCCCCCUGGGCCAAUACUGACGCUCAUGCACGAAAGCGUGGGGAGCAAACAGGAUUAGAUACCCUGGUAGUCCACGCCCUAAACGAUGUCAACUAGUUGUUGGGGAUUCAUUUCCUUAGUAACGAAGCUAACGCGUGAAG